GCACUUGGUCUAAUCCAAAGCCCACUGAAGUCAAUAGGAAGAUUCCCAUUGACUUCAACAGGGUUUGAAUCAGGUCCUAAAAGU
rnacentral:pre_miRNA from 1 species